CGGGAAUUUUGGGCAAUGGGCGAAAGCCUGACCCAGCAACGCCGCGUGAGGGAUGAAGUAUUUCGGUAUGUAAACCUCGAAAGAAUGGGAAGAAUAAAUGAUGGUACCAUUUAUAAGCUCCGGCUAACUACGUGCCAGCAGCCGCGGUAAUACGUAGGGAGCAAGCGUUGUUCGGAUUUACUGGGCGUAAAGGGCGCGUAGGCGGCGCGGUAAGUCACUUGUGAAAUCUCUGAGCUUAACUCAUAACGGCCAAGUGAUACUGCUGUGCUAGAGUGAGGAAGAGGCAACCGGAAUUCUUGGUGUAGCGGUGAAAUGCGUAGACAUCAAGAGGAACACCUGAGGCGAAGGCGGGUUGCUGGGCCGACACUGACGCUGAUGCGCGAAAGCCAGGGGAGCAAACG
rnacentral:rRNA from 1 species